rnacentral:rRNA from 1 species
GUCUACGGCCAUGUCACCCUGAACAAGCCUGAUGUCUGAUCUCGAAAGUUAAGCAGGGUCGGGCCUGGUUAAUACUUGGAUGGGAGACCACCUAGGAAGACCAGGUGCUGUAGGCA